ACCCAGACAUCAGAUACUUAUAAAUACAUCAUUACGUGAUUACAGUUAUUUGAAGUGGUUUGGAGGACAAUUACAGUUUGCUGUGUGGACUAAAUUGAAACCAGGGGCCAUGAAAAGGGCUCCAGAGGAAGUGACAUUUAAGAUGAGGAAACUAAGGCAUAGAGAAGUUCAUACAGCCAAUCACCUGGGUGGUGCUAGCACACAGUCUGGCUUCAGAGUCCAUGCCCUUGGCCCCUGUGCCAUACUGCCUUUUUGAGGAGCGCCGCCCAGUUCUACAGAAUUGCACCUGUAAUCCCAGCUACUCUGGAGGCUGAGCAGAAGGAUCACUUGAACCCAGGAGUUCCAGGAUGUAGUACGCUGUGAUUGCACCUGUGAAUAGCCACUGCGUUCCAGCCUGGGCAACAUUGCCAGUCUCUUUAAAAAAAAAAAUUAAACUAAACUUUAAAUUUGUUGUGAUUUUGUCUUUUGACAAAGAUGAAAGGGCAGGGAAGUCAAUGUGAAUUGCCCCAAAUCACACUUGUCAAAACAAGUGCUGUCCAACUGAUUUGGUUUUAAAUUCUC
rnacentral:lncRNA from 13 species